AGACCAUGAUGAGGACACUUUAAAAGGAGGUCUUUAAAACGUUCCAUACAUCGAGAGAAUGAUUCAUUGGGUCUCUGGCGAAACUGGAGAAUCUCGUUCCUAAGCUU
rfam:Cephalotus follicularis DNA, scaffold: scaffold1932, isolate: St1.